rnacentral:rRNA from 1 species
UACAGAGGUCUCAAGCGUUGUUCGGAUUCAUUGGGCGUAAAGAGCGUGUAGGCGGCUUUACAGGUCCGUUGUGAAAACUCGAGGCUCAACCUCGAGACGCCGGUGGAAACCGUAAGGCUAGAGUCCGGAAGAGGAGAGUGGAAUUCCUGGUGUAGCGGUGAAAUGACGCAGAUAUCAGGAGGAACACCCGUGGCGAAAGCGGCUCUCUGGGACGGUACUGACGCUGAGACGCGAAAGCGUGGGGAGCAAACAGG